rnacentral:rRNA from 1 species
AGUAUAAGCAACUUGUACUGUGAAACUGCGAAUGGCUCAUUAAAUCAGUUAUCGUUUAUUUGAUAGUACCUUACUACAUGGAUACCUGUGGUAAUUCUAGAGCUAAUACAUGCUAAAAACCCCGACUUCAGGAAGGGGUGUAUUUAUUAGAUAAAAAACCAACGCCCUUCGGGGCUCCUUGGUGAAUCAUAAUAACUUAACGAAUCGCAUGGCCUUGCGCCGGCGAUGGUUCAUUCAAAUUUCUGCCCUAUCAACUUUCGAUGGUAGGAUAGUGGCCUACCAUGGUGGCAACGGGUAACGGGGAAUUAGGGUUCGAUUCCGGAGAGGGAGCCUGAGAAACGGCUACCACAUCCAAGGAAGGCAGCAGGCGCGCAAAUUACCCAAUCCCGAUACGGGGAGGUAGUGACAAUAAAUACUGAUACGGGGCUCUUUUGGGUCUCGUAAUUGGAAUGAGAACAAUUUAAAUCCCUUAACGAGGAACAAUUGGAGGGCAAGUCUGGUGCCAGCAGCCGCGGUAAUUCCAGCUCCAAUAGCGUAUAUUAAAGUUGUUGCAGUUAAAAAGCUCGUAGUUGAACCUUGGGUCUGGCUGGCCGGUCCGCCUCACCGCGAGUACUGGUCCGGCUGGACCUUUCCUUCUGGGGAACCUCAUGGCCUUCACUGGCUGUGGGGGGAACCAGGACUUUUACUGUGAAAAAAUUAGAGUGUUCAAAGCAGGCCUUUGCUCGAAUACAUUAGCAUGGAAUAAUAGAAUAGGACGUGUGGUUCUAUUUUGUUGGUUUCUAGGACCGCCGUAAUGAUUAAUAGGGAUAGUCGGGGGCGUCAGUAUUCAGCUGUCAGAGGUGAAAUUCUUGGAUUUGCUGAAGACUAACUACUGCGAAAGCAUUCGCCAAGGAUGUUUUCAUUAAUCAGGGAACGAAAGUUAGGGGAUCGAAGACGAUCAGAUACCGUCGUAGUCUUAACCAUAAACUAUGCCGACUAGGGAUCGGACGGGAUUCUAUAAUGACCCGUUCGGCACCUUACGAGAAAUCAAAGUUUUUGGGUUCUGGGGGGAGUAUGGUCGCAAGGCUGAAACUUAAAGAAAUUGACGGAAGGGCACCACAAGGCGUGGAGCCUGGCGGCUUAAUUUGACUCAACACCGGGGAAACUCAC